GACGAACGCUGGCGGCGUGCUUAACACAUGCAAGUCGAACGGAAAGGCCCUGCUUUUGUGGGGUUCUCGAGUGGCGAACGGGUGAGUAACACGUGAGUAACCUGCCCUUGACUUUGUGAUAACUUCAGGAAACUGGGGCUAAUACCGGAUAGGAGCUCCUGCUGCAUGGUGGGGGCUGGAAAGUUUCGGCGGUUGGGGAUGGACUCGCGGCUUAUCAGCUUGUUGGUGGGGUAGUGGCUUACCAAGGCUUUGACGGGUAGCCGGCCUGAGAGGGUGACCGGCCACAUUGGGACUGAGAUACGGCCCAGACUCCUACGGGAGGCAGCAGUGGGGAAUAUUGCACAAUGGGCGGAAGCCUGAUGCAGCAACGCCGCGUGCGGGAUGACGGCCUUCGGGUUGUAAACCGCUUUCGCCUGUGACGAAGCGUGAGUGACGGUAAUGGGUAAAGAAGCACCGGCUAACUACGUG
rnacentral:rRNA from 1 species